UACGGAGGGUGCAAACGUUGCUCGGAAUCAUUGGGCGUAAAGCGCACGUAGGCGGUCCGUUAAGUCGGGUGUGAAAUCCCUCGGCUCAACCGAGGAAGUGCAUUCGAAACUGGCGGACUUGAGUAUGGAAGAGGGUCGUGGAAUUCCCGGUGUAGAGGUGAAAUUCGUAGAUAUCGGGAGGAACACCAGUGGCGAAGGCGGCGACCUGGGCCAAUACUGACGCUGAGGUGCGAAAGCGUGGGGAGCAAACAGG
rnacentral:rRNA from 1 species